UCGUGCUAGACGGGGAGGUAGCGGUGCCCUGUAACCCGCAAUCCGCUAUAGCGGGGUUGAAGCCUGUACUGAGGUCCUAUUACGUGUGGUCUGCCCCAAAUAAGUGGCGUUGACGAUUGGGUCCUGUGCAACGGAAUGUCAUGAACCUCGUCAGGUCCGGAAGGAAGCAGCGAUAAGUGAAUUUUUUCGUGUGCCGCAGGGUUGCCUGGUCUGAGCUAACUGUUUGGGUUACGCACGGGUGAUAGCGAUCGAAGGCAGGCGCACGA
rnacentral:SRP_RNA from 1 species